GUGAGACCUCAUGUCAAAGCCCUCAAUGCCCUAGAACUCACUCUGCAUCUCAGGCUAUAUUUGAACUUUCUUCGGUCUUCUUGAGUCUUAUAGGAGUUUGCCACUGGGUGCAGACAAUAAAAGGACAGUCUGGUCUAAGGGUGUGAUGACAAGAACGCCUCCAAACGGGGACCCAGGAGCUGGAAGUCAUCACAGCAUCCUUUGGACCAGUGACUGCAUCUCUGGCUAGAGACGAUCCUCUCACAACACGGAAUGCAGGGUAACUGGGUCACACUGAAUAUGGUUUCAUUGCUCUCUGUCCUUCUCAACACAUGAGGCCCAAGUCUGGAAUCUCAGUGACUGUGCUGUGCUUCACUUCUUCCUAUCUGAACUCUGAAGCUUUUGCAAGGCAUUUAACCACACGUGCCUUAGAUUCUCCAUCUGCAAUACAAGUGGAUCCAGUAGGGUCUGUAUAUUUUCUUUCAGUUCUGAUUUUUUUUGAGUGUCAGAUGUUUGUUUGUUUGUUUGUUUGUUUUUUGAGACAGGGUUUCUCUGUGUAGCCCUGGCUGUCCUGGAACUCACUCUGUAGACCAGGCUGGCUUCGAACUCAGAAAACUGCCUGCCUCUGCCUCCCAAGUGCUAGGAUUAAAGGCAUGCGCCACCACGCCUGGCUUUAAGUGUCAGAUUUUAUUUCUUGCAUACAUACAUAAAUACUUGCAUUUAUAAUACCUUCAUAUGUGCACACACAUUAUUUUGCUUGUGAAUAUUUAAUUUUUCAAUGUCAUUCACUGAAGAGAUUGUUCUGUUUUUCUGACCCUGUGUCUCUUGGAGGCAAUAUAUUAUUUGGCUUCAAAAUAACUACAAAGUUGUGGUUAUCAGUUCUGAUUUUUAAUUUCUGGAGAGUUUUAAAUUCGGUUAAGGCUCACUGAAAUGAGUAUCAGUAAAAAGAACUUACUUUCAAGAAUUUUCUUAAAUUAUGUACGUAGGUCAAUAUAUGCAUCAUGAGUCUUGUUAAUUGUCUUCAUUGUUCAUGUGUUAUUCUCCCUCUAGCAAGAUGACAUUAAAAUGUCCCAUUGCAAAGUUUAAUGUUGCUUUUGUUUUGUUUUGUUUUUCUGGCAGACUUUGAGAGAUAGUAAUCGACUCAAUUAUCUAGAUAGAUGAUAUGUUCUAUUAUGUAUGUGGUAUAGUUCACAUAGGAAUUCUUGAGAGAUAAUUGAACAGUAUUUCAAUAUAUGGCACUUUCUAUUUUCUAUGCUUUACCCAGCUUCUACGGACAGUUGUCUUGUCUCACCACUUUGCCCAAGUGUUUUGUAAACUCUUUAUAUUUCUGGUCAUUUUCAAGUAAUACAUUUCAUGAACCCAUUAAAUGUUUUUGAGGUACUA